rnacentral:rRNA from 1 species
UACGAAGGGUGCAAGCGUUGCUCGGAAUUAUUGGGCGUAAAGGGUUGGUAGGUGGUCUUGUUUGUCUAAGGUGAAAUCCCAUGGCUUAACUGUGGAAGUGCCUUAGAAACGGCAAGACUAGAGUCCUAGAGGGGUUUGUGGAAUUCCCGGUGUAGCGUGAAAUGCGUAGAGAUCGGGAGGAACACCAGCGGCGAAGGCGGCAAACUGGAUAGGCACUGACACUCAACAACGAAAGCGUGGGGAGCAAACAGG